rnacentral:rRNA from 1 species
UACGUAGGGUGCGAGCGUUAAUCGGAAUUACUGGGCGUAAAGCGUGCGCAGGCGGUUUUGUAAGCCAGAUGUGAAAUCCCCGGGCUUAACCUGGGAAUGGCAUUUGGGACUGCAAGGCUGGAGUGCGGCAGAGGAGACUGGAAUUCCUGGUGUAGCAGUGAAAUGCGUAGAUAUCAGGAGGAACACCGAUGGCGAAGGCAGGUCUCUGGGCUGACACUGACGCUCAUGCACGAAAGCAUGGGGAGCGAACAGG